CCUACGGGAGGCAGCAGUGAGGAAUAUUGGUCAAUGGACGAGAGUCUGAACCAGCCAAGUAGCGUGAAGGAUGACUGCCCUAUGGGUUGUAAACUUCUUUUAUAUGGGAAUAAAAUGUUCCACGUGUGGGAUUUUGUAUGUACCAUAUGAAUAAGGAUCGGCUAACUCCGUGCCAGCAGCCGCGGUAAUACGGAGGAUCCGAGCGUUAUCCGGAUUUAUUGGGUUUAAAGGGAGCGUAGGUGGAUUGUUAAGUCAGUUGUGAAAGUUUGCGGCUCAACCGUAAAAUUGCAGUUGAAACUGGCAGUCUUGAGUACAGUAGAGGUGGGCGGAAUGCGUGGUGUAGCGGUGAAAUGCUUAGAUAUCACGAAGAACUCCGAUUGCGAAGGCAGUUCACUGGACUGCAACUGACACUGAGGCUCGAAAGUGUAGGUAUCAAACAGGAUUAGAUACCCCUGUAGUC
rnacentral:rRNA from 1 species